GAUUUCUGGUAUGAUGUACCUGUCCCGCCACGGUAACGUGUGUGAGUGACGGAGUAUGUCUGCCAUCCUUCUAGAGAAUGCAAGCUGGCCUUUACUGGUUUGGUUUGUAUCAUCUAGAUCUUUUACUUUGAAAAAAUUAGAGUGUUUCAAGCAGGCGUUUUGCUAUGAAUACAUUAGCAUGGAAUAAUAAGUUAGGACUUCGGUUCUAUUUUGUUGGUUUCUAGGGCUGAAGUAAUGAUUGAUAGGGAUAGUUGGGGGUGCUAGUAUUCAGCGGCCAGAGGUGAAAUUCUUGGAUUCGCUGAAGACUAACUUAUGCGAAAGCAUU
rnacentral:rRNA from 1 species